GCGAUACUAAUAACUAAAAAUGAGAUAAUCAUCACCAUUUUUUAUUUAAACAUUAUAAAUUAUUGAACAUUAUAAAUUGCCAACUUGUAAGUCAUUGAUGCUUUAAGCUGCAAUUUUCAAACUGAAAAAAGAUGCUCACUAAAUUUUAAAACUUAUUCAAAUCAAAUAAAACUUAAUCACCUUCCACACUUUGCGAAAAAAAAAAGAGCUUAAAAUUACAUUCUUCUUUAGUUCACAUCCCUCUCACUUUUAUUUAUCCUUAUCUCAUUUAUGCAAUAUAUGUUUUUAUUUUUCUUGAUUUGUUAUAAUUUGAUUUUUUUACUUCUCUUUUUGCAUGUAUAAUUUAGGGUUUGUGGGUUGUAUAAACGCAAUCGGUAAGUAUAUAUUGACGGAAUCUUUUCAAAAUAACAAAGUUUUAAUUUUUUUACUUAAAUAAUAUACAGUAUCAAAUAAUUACUUAAAUAACAUAGUUUAAUGCAACGCUUCAGAAUUCAGUUUUUGGAGAAUCAAAUUCUCAACAUGAUUGAGUGUAAUUUCGCAGAAAACUAGUUCAGAAUUUAGUUAUUUUUGUUUUAAUUUUUUUAUUUAAAAUGAAGGAAAGGAAAUUUAUAAUUUUUAGAUUUUAAAAAAUUAAUUGAUUUGGAAAAUAAUUUCUUAAAAAAAGAUUUUAUAUACAAAGUAGUUCUACAAAAGAUGCACCAAAUGUGCAUAAGAGAACCAGAUCGAAACAUAUUACAAGAAAGAGAUACAAGCUUAGAGUUACAUAAACAACAAAAGAAAAUUAAGAAACUAGAGAGGGAUAGAGUGAAUAUGAAGAGGAAAGAGAAUGGUCAACCCAAUGCUCCCUCACCCUUGCCUAUUUCUCACAAUUUUGGUUCAUGUGUUAAGUCUUCUUUUUCUCCAACAAAUUUUGAUUCCCCACUUUUCAUGAUGAGUGUCUCCACUUUUAGUCACAAACUUUGCACAUGAGUUUCUUACAAUUUUAUUUUUUAUUUUAAAAUUAAUGACUUUGGUAUGUUUGAUAUGGUGAGAUCAAAUCAUCUUGAAGUUGAAAAUGUUUAUUAAUUAAUUGGACAUGUUUUAAAUUUAAAUUUAUAAAUUUUAUUCAAUUUAUAAGUAAUUAUAAUGUCAAAAAAUUGUAUAAAAAUGUACAGAUUCAUUCAUUUAUAUAUAUAUAAAACCACUCAUGGAGAUUGGGAAACAAUAAAAAAAUAGGGUUUUUUUAUCUGUAAAUGAGGUUAUCUCACGAUUGGUCAUUAAGAAAGAGUAUGAUAAGAAAAAAUAUGCAAAAGAUAGAUUAAGAAAAAGUUAUUGAAGAAACUACUCACUCUUAAGUGCAUAUCUCUAUUAUAAUUGAAUGUAUGGUAUUUGAUAAUCAUAUAUGGUAAAAUUCUUAUAUUUUACAUUCUUGUAUGUUUAGAUUUUACAUAAACCAACUUUAAAGUUUUACAGUCAUAUAAAGAUAAUUUUUUAAGAGUGGAUAGUAGUUCAUUUUUGAACAAUGACUCCGAAUUAUCACAAUAAGAAAUUGACAAUUUUUUUUUCAAAAAAAUCAAAUUGUCUGGUUAUAAUAAGGUUUUGAAAACUCAUUAGUUUCUUAUUCCUUUAGGUAAUUUUUGUAGCGUUAUAUACAUAAAUAUUGUAUUUGUUGCUCUUGUUUGAGGGUGUGACCUCUCUGGUGGGGAGAUAUAAUUGUAUUUGUUGGGUUUAUUUAUCUUUGUAUGGGAUUUAAGCUUGAUAAGUAGUACAAUGUUUGUUGGAUCCUUAGUUGGUAGGGUUCUAGGAAACUUGUUUUGGAGUUUUGUAUAAGGGUUGAGACACCCCUGAAGUGUCUCAUUUUAUUUUAUUUAUUCUUUGCUGAUAAAAAAAAUAUAUACAUAAAAAUUAGUUUAUAAGUUUUGAAGUUUCCAUAUCAAAUUCAGAGAAACAUAAUGCUAAAACCUAGAGUAUUUGCGUCUUGACACAAAUGUAUUCAAGAAAAUUUCAUUGUUCAUUCCAUAUUUUAUCAGCAAUACUCAAGAAAAUUUCAAGAAAACACAUAUUCCAUAUUUUAAGUAGGCUUAUAUUUACAAAUGAUAUAAACUUAUACUAUUUAUUAAAUUUUAUCUCUUUCUGAAAAUAAAUAUAAUUAUAAAAUAUAAAUGAUUAAGUACAAAAUUUGUUAUUAUGUAUAAAUGCAUAAAUAUAGAGAUAAGGAAUCAAUUAUAACUGUUAAAAUAUUCAAAAAUAAGUUUGAAAGUUAUAAUUUAGUAAGUUAUAACUAAAUCAGUUAUCAUGUAUUGUUCAAAUUGUAGAUAAUUAUCUCCACAGUUUAAAGAAGGUACAUCUCCAAAUAUCUCAAAGUUAAGAUACAAAUAAGAUGUUAGUAUUUAGGCUUAUUAUGAGAAAAAUGCAAUUAUUCUCUUUGAAAUUAGGUUUAUCAAUGUUGUUUUACAAAAAUAUGCAGUGAAAUUUAUCAUUAACAUGUACAAUUAUUUAAUUGUAAUUAUUACUUUACUGUGAACCUUAUAAUAUAUUUAAAUAAAUAAUAAAAUAUGAAUAUAAUUAUAUUUAAGUUAAUAUAUAAUCAAUGUCUAUUGUUAAAUAAAAUAAGAUAAUUAAAUAUUACUUUAUUAAAAAGAUAUAAAAAUUUAACCUCAUUUAUUAAAAUAAAAAAUUAUAAAUUUAUUUAAAAAAUUAAAAAAAAAUAAAUGUUAUUAAAAGAUUAUGAAUUUUUUUUAAGAAUAUAAAAUUUUGUAACAUUUAACAUGAUCUUUAUAAUGAGAUAAUUAUAUUUUUAAAUUAAAUUAUAAAAAAAGGCAUUUUUUUAAAGUAAAAUUGAAGAGAAACUGUUGUUAUUUUGAGCUUCUUAGAUGGAUCCAUUACAUAUGUAACCUUAGGAUUAAACAUCUCCUCAACAUUACUUAAAACUCAUGUUUAUGAAUAUCUAAAGUUGAAGUAGUUAUUUUCGUGAGAUAUCUAAUAUAAAUAAUAAUAAUAAUGAAAUUAAUAAUAUGAAUGCUAUUAAAUAUAUAAAUAAUAUUAAUAAUUUUUAUAUUGUUACUUAUAUUAAUAUUGAUAAUAACAUUAGUAAGUGUAAUAAUAAUCUUAAUAUAACAACAAAAUUUGAUUGGUGUAAUGGUUAAAAUUUCUUUAGUAAUUUAAGAGAUUUGGCUUUGAGUCUCACCUAUUGCAGUCUAUUUCUAACACAUUAAUAAUAAUUCUAAAAAUAGACAAAUAAUUUUUGUAAAUAAUAAAAAUAUUAGUUACAUAUAGUGAUAAAUAUUCAUAUCACUAAAGUUUUUUUUUUUUUUGCAGUGUUAGCAUCAGUUUUAAGUGAAAAAUAGAAAUAUGAAAAAACAAACUUUUCUUUUAUCGGUUUGUUCAAAAAUUGAUUUAAAAGACCAUUUUAAAUAUUUAUAACACAAACUAUUUAAAAGUAACUGUAAUCGAUUUAAAAUGUUACUUUUGAAUUUAUCAAUAAUACAUAUUAAAAAGAUUUCUUUUUAUAACUUAUUUUAAAAUUGAUUAUCAAACUUUUUUAAAAGCUCUCAAACAAACAAUGUUUAAUUACAGGAUAUUUUGAAGUUCUUUUUUAAAAGUGUGGAUCAAGUUAAAUAUCUCAACAUAAAGUAAGACAAUAUAUUUUUCUUCAUUUGAUCUACACUUAAAUGUUGAUACCAUUAUAACUACAUAUAUGGAAUAUAAAUAGGAUCUAGAUAUUUCCUAAUUGCAUGCCAUAGAUUACUUUCCUUUGAGGUGGAAAGACCGACAAAGCUGGUAUAACCCAUAAAAAAAUAUUUAACUACCAAUUAUUUAGAUUCUAAAUUUGAUAACAAAAAUCUUGAUUGUUAAUUAGAUACCAAUUUAGAAAUCAUUUAACAAUAAUAGAAACUAAUCUAGAAACCAAAUUUUUUUUAGUCUCUAAAAUAAUCUAUAAUUUAGUCACUAUAGCAACUAAUUAUUUUUUAUCUCUAACAUUGGUUUCUAUUUCAUGAUUUUCUUGUAGUGUAUGCUUGGUAGAUACCAGAGUAAUCCAAGAUUGUAUUAUUGGAAAACUAAGAAGAAAGUCUCCACUUAUAUUAUUGUUGAGGUUCAUGAGGUUGAGGUUUGCACCCACUUAUAUACAAUGAAAGACUCUAAUCUCUAGUCGAUGUGAGAUCUCCAACACACACCCCCCUCACGCCGAGACUGCCAACUCGUGCGUGGGACUAUUUAUUAUGGUUGGUCCGAUAGAGGCUCGAUAGCGGGUGACACGAUAGGCCCAACACAAACACUCGCUAGGAUAGGCUCAAAAAUGGCUCUGAUACCAUAUUAAAAAGUGGACUUUAAACCUAACUCAACCCCAUAAAACCGGUUCAUGAGGUUGAGGUUUAUACCCACUUAUAUACAAUGAAAGACUCUAAUCUCUAGUCGAUGUGGGAUCUCCAACAAUUGUCAAACCGCUAAGAAUUUAUUGUGAUAAUUUUUGCAGUUGUAUUUUUUUUGAAGAACGGUAAGUAUUCCAAAGGUGCUAAACAUAUGUGAUUGAAAUACUUGUCAUUAAGGAAGAAGUUUAGAACUAGAGUGUCAAUAAAACAUAUUAAUACUAAUCUUAUGAUUGAUGACCCUUUAAUAAAAGGGUUAUCGCCCAAAAUAUUUAUUGGCCAUGUUGAGAUAUGAACAUUAUAUCUACUAGUGUAUGUUGAAUAUUGUUAUUUGACACUGAGUUAAUUGAUAUACAUGAUCUAUGUUUUCCACUUUAUGUAUAUACAUAUAUGUGGAAAACAAAUUAUAUUAUUGUUGAUGAAGAUGAAAAAUGAAAAAAAAAUUAAUUGUUUUGGUUACAUAUUAUUUUAUGCUACGUGGAUCCUAUUUAACACAACUACCUUCUAGAUUGCUUCUAUUUAAUACUGGAAAACGACUGCAUUAUUUUCCCCCCCUUUGAGGUGGGAAUUCAAGUGGGUAACCGAGUAUUAAAAAAAAUAAAUUUAACAGACUUGAAUUAUGGUCAAUCAUCAUUUAAAAUGUAUUAAAAAAAUAAUUUAAGAGACUUCAAGUUUUAAGGUCAAUCUAAGAGCACACACUCAUGAGUGCCAUAGUUGCUUUCAUAUGUUGUAGAUCACUGUGCACACCAAACGCCAAAGAAGCUUCUUGGACGACUCGAGAAGUGAUUUUCGUUAUGAGCGAAUCUGCAAAGCUGAAAAGAAGUGUUUCUGCCAUGAUGUUAUUUUGGGAGGAAAGAAUGCAAUUGGAAGUUGAUAGUUAGUAUAGUUGUGUGGUGAAUGAUUUCACAUCAUUAUAAUUAUGGUAAAGAAUUAGAAGAAACGACCCCACCAUCCGUAUAAAUAUAUACUUAAAUAUAUACUUUAGAUACUAAUUUAGAAAAUAUUAUUAAUGAUAAAAAUUACUUUUGCACAAAUUUUUUGAAAAAUAUAUAUUUUUUUUAAAUUUCACGUGAGAAUCUCGAUUGAAUUUGAGACAAAGUGUGACAAAUUUCAGGUAAAACGGAUGAGUAUUAACUUAGGAAACAAAUCAAACAGUUUCACACACAAACGGACAUUCCUUUUAACCCUGACAUGAUGAAUAAAAAAUUUAUUGCAAAUCUUCUGGGAUGAAUUUGGGACUCAAAUCUCAGCCAAAACUCAAUAGACACAAUGACGAAUGUCUGACAAAAAUUUAAGACCAAAAUACUUAAGGAGUAAGGCGUAGUAAGUCCCAGACCGAGAUUGAAUAAAACUGGUUUUCCGAAAACAAAACGUCCUGACCUUUCUUCCCCGUAUCUUCUUUUUGUUAUUUGUUUAUGGACGUGCCUCCUUACCUGGGUGCAAACAAUAUAUGAAAGUACUUGUGUGAAUUUUUUCAACGCAAUACGGAUCAAGAAUAAAAUUGCAGAAAGUAGGGCGGAAUUUCACAAGUUUUGGUAGAUGAUAAGCUUGGUUUGCACAAAAUUUCUGAAAAAUUCUCGAGAAAUAGUUUUUUUAGAUAUACUAAUAAAUAAAUAGUAUCUAAUUUAAAUAAUAUAGUAACUAAUUAUUUUUUUAUUUCUAAAAUUGAUUUCUAUUUAAUGAUAUUUUUUGUAAUGCUUGUUUAUAUUAAGUCUUCAAUGCGUAGUCACCUAUUAGAAAUCACCUCACUCUUGUCCAUGCCUCACAAUUUAUUAGUAUCUAAUUAAUUAGUGAUAUAAAUUACUUUAGAUACUAAUAAAUAAUAUAUAAUUUAAUCAAUAUAUUAAAUAAUUAUUUUUUUCUUUAAAAUUAAUUUGUAUGUAAUACUUGUCAAUAUUAAGUAUUCAACACGUAGUCACCUAUUGGAAAUCACCUCACUCCUGUCCAUGCCUCACAAUUUUGGAUCAUAUGUCAAACUGUUCUUUUUCUUUAACUAACUUUGAUACUUAACUUGUUAUUAUUAGUCAUUUGUUCCUAGUUACAACCUUUGCACUCGAGUUCCUUAUAAUUUUGUUUUUCAUUUUCAUUUUAAAAGAAUGACUUUGGUAAGUUUGAUGUAAUAAGAUGAAAUUAUCUUGAAGUUGGAAAUAUUUAUUAAUUAAUUAGACAUAAUUUAAAUUUAAAUUUAUAAAUUUUAUUCAAUUUAUAAGUAAUUAAAAUGUAAAAAAAAAAUGCAUUGAAAAAAAUUGCAAAUUACAAAUAUUUGAAAUAUGAAAAAAGUAAUAAAAAAUAUUUAAAAGUAAACUUUUAUAUUCUAAAUUAGUUGUUUUGAAAAUAAAUUUAAAAAGCUACCUUUUUAAUUAAUUCACUAAAAAAUAAUGGAAUAGAAAACAUCUAAAAACGACAUAUAUUCUUCUUCUUUAUUUGAUCUACACUUGAUGUUUAUACUACUAUUACAAAAUAUUGACUUUAUCAACACUUUAUUUUGUAUAAAAAAACAUUGUUUUGAAAUAUCAGAAGUGAAAAAAUUGUACAGAAUUAUUAGUUGUAGUAAGAUAUUCCACACUUCCUAGAUGAGUCCCUUAUGAGGUGGAGAGAUCGACGUAAUGGUAUAACCUAUAUAAAGAAAUAAAUUUUUUCUUUUAAAAUGAAAAAAAAUUGUCAAAAAUAAUAAUCUAAUGGAGAAACAAAAGGUUAAAAUUAUUACCUUCAACUCUUUGUGUUACUAUGAGAAUUCUUCCUCAUUUUCUGAUUCAUCAAUGUAAACGUUUUUUAUGUGUGAUAUUUGGUGCCAAUCCGGUCCAACUUUUGGCUUCAAUCUUCUGCAUAAUUCAGGACAACCAUUGAUUUCUAUCUCUUCAAGAUUUGUAAGGUGAUACAUGUUAUCAGGGAGAGACAACAGAUUUGGACAAUCCCAAAUGUCAAGUUCUUUUAGACAAAUUAGAGUUGUUAGCCAAUCGGGAAGCUCUUCAAGAUUUGUAAGGUGAUACAUGUUAUCAGGGAGAGACAACAGAUUUGGACAAUCCCAAAUGUCAAGUUCUUUUAGACAAAUUAGAGUUGUUAGCCAAUCGGGAAGCUCUUCAAGAUUGAUGCAACCUGCAAUAAAUAAGGUUUCUAAAGAUUUCGCAGAUCUUUGAAACCACUCAGGAAGCGUAACCAGUUGGGGCAAGUUUACAAGAAUAAGGGACUUUAACCUUAAAUCAGGGAUUUGGUUUCCAAGACCCAUCAACAAUUCCAACUUGUCGCAUUGUGAGAUAUUCAAAAACUUUAGAUUUGUAAUGGCGUGAAACGACAUCGACUUUAAACUUUUACAGUCAUAUAAAGACAAUCUUGUAAGAUUGGGUAAUAGUAUUCCUUCGAACAAUGACUCCAAAUUAUGACAAUGACGAAAAUAUAAAUUUUCUAAAGAACUCAAACUUGCAAUCUCUUCUUCUGGAAGAUCAAGUUGCCUGGUGGUUAUAAUAAGGUUUCGAAGGCUUAUUAGAUUUUUUAUUCCUUUGGGUAAUUUUUGUAGCUUUAUACAUCCAAAAAGAUUCAAAGUUUGCAAAUUUUGAAGUUUGCAGACCGAAUCAUGGAGUUCCUCGAGUUUUUCACUAUUUUGAAGAUUCAGACAUCUUAAAUGUUUCAACUUUCCAAUGCAGUCAGGCAAACUCUCGUAUUCAGAUAAACAUAAUUGUAAAACCCUCAAGUAUUUGCAUCUUGACAAGAAUGUAUUCAAUAAAGCUUCAUUGUUCAUUCCAACAUGAAAACACAGACUUCUCAAACUUGUGAAGGGAAAAGCUUGAGCAAGCAAAUUAUUAUCCAUAAAAGCUAAAUGUUGGACAUUCUCAAAUAUUUUUGGAUUGGGGAGAUCUAUUCUUUCAAACUCACCUUUUGCAAUAUAAGUUGCAAGAUCAUGCACUAAAUCAUGUAACUGAAAUGAGGAAUCGCUACCCAAGUCAAUAUAUUCUGAAAGAAAAGAUCUUGACCAUAGUUCAUGCACAAGUUGAUUGGCAACAUCAGUCAUCGAUUCACUUUCCUUUAGCGGUGGCAGAAAACCAAGUGCUCCCCACAUGGUAGAAAUCUGAGAACAAGAAAUAUCAAUGUCCUGUGGGUAAAGGGAGAAAGAAGCAAAACAUGGUUUUAAAUAUGAUGGCAGUUGAUCGUAACUUAGUUUGAGAGCUGGAAAAAUGAAUUUUUCAUUUUGUUUUAAAUUCCAAAUCUCAUUGUCUCUUAUAGACUCCCACUCUUUCUUGUCAACCCUUGAGAAUAGUGAACUCCUCACCGUUUUCAGUGCCAAUGGUAACCCUCCACAUUUUUUUACAAUUUCUUUCCCAAUCUCCAACAAUUGUGGAUGCUUUUUCUCAUCUCCAUCUUCAAAAGCACAUUUCAAAAAUAAAGAAAGAGAAUCCUCUUCAGAGAGACACUCUAGAAGGUAAAAAUUUGAGAAUCUAGUGCGCAUCAUGUUAGCUAUUUCAUGGCUACGAGUAGUCACUAGGAUUUUGUUCCCUUCAACCUCUGAAUCUAUUAUUUCCUUCAACUCAUCCCAUCUUACACGAUCCUCAUUCCACACAUCAUCUAACACAAGCAGGAACUUCUGACCUUGAAGUGUAUUUCUCAAAUGAUUUUGAAGUUGCCCGGUCUCAAAGUUACUGUUGUUUUCACUAGUUGGGUUUGGAACAGAAUUGAUGAUUUUAUUGAGCACAUUCCUAAGUUCAAAAUCAUUAGAAACACACACCCACAUCUUCAAGGGAAAACAUGCAUCAAUGUUGGUGUCAUUGAAGACCAACUUAGCAAGUGUGGUUUUUCCCAAACCUCCCAUUCCCACAAUGGGAACAACAGAAAGAGUUUGGUGGUGAACAUCUUGCACCAAAAGUUUGACUAUUUCAUUUUGAUCAUGUUCCCUUCCUGUAACAUUGGAAGGGUUUACAUGAGAAUGAGUCAUUUCCCUCACGUGCACCACACGUGUAUCUUGGUCAAUGAUUUGAAGCCCAAACAUGUUUCUUGGGAAACACAACUACCUUCUACGUUGCUUCUAUUUAACAUUAAGUUAACAAAUUUGAAGUUUUAUGGUCAAUCCUUUAAAAUGUAUUAACAAAUUUGUAUUAUUACUAUUUUUAGACUAUUAUUUUUUUGGUAAGAAAUUUCGAAAGUUGUUUUAAAUGAUUGUUUAAAAGGUGAACACAUAAUUAUUUUAAAAGCGACGAUUUGGGUUUUUAAAAUUUAAAUAUUAAUUUAAUACUAAAAUUAAUAGUUUACAAAAUUAUUGUGAAUUAAAAAUUAAAUCGUCUUAAGAAUACUAAAAGACAUGCAUAUUUAUUAGAAAAUAUUAAAUUUAAAUUACUUAAACAAAUGAUUAAAAAAAUAUUAAAAAAUAUAAAUAACAUUAAACACAAAUAUUGUUGCGAUACUGAUGAUAAAAGAAAAAUAUAAUCAUCACCAUUUUUUAUUUAAACAUUAAAAAUUAUUCAACAUUAUCACUUAAAAAAAAUUAUGAAAUAGAAACUAAUUUUAGAUAAAAAAAAUAAUUAGUUGUAUAACUAAAUUAGAGACAAUUUUAUAAACUAAAAAAAUUAGUUUUUUUAAUUAAUUUCUAUUAUUGUUAAAUGAUUUUUAAAUUGGUAUUUAAUUAACUACCAAGGUUUUAACUACCAAUUAUUUAGUUUCUAUUGGUAGAAAAACCUGGUUGCUAAUUACAUACCAAUUUAGAAACCAUUUAACAAUAAUAGAAACUAAUUUAGAAACCAAACUUUUUUAUUUUUAAGGUGGUUUCUAAUUUAGUCAAUAUAAUAAUUAAUUAUUUUUUAUUUCUUGAUUUUUAUUUUAUGAUUGUAUUAUAGUAUAUAUAUUGUCAACUUGUAAGUCAUUGAUGCUUUAAGCUACAAUUUUGAAACGCUGUCUUUAGAAAUUAAAUAAGCCACAUUAAAAAAAGAUGUUGACUUAAAAUUUAAACUUAUUGAAAUUCAAUAAAACUUAAUCACCUUCCACACUUUGCAAAAAAAAGAGAGCUCAAAAUUGCAUUCCUCUUCCUCAACUUCUCUCUUCUCUUGUAAACCUCACAUUUUCCUUAAAAAUUACAUUCUUCUUUAACGUUCACAUCCACUUCCACUUUUAUUUCCAUAUCUCAUUUAUGCAAAUAUUGUUCUUUUUUUUUUUCUUGAUUUUGUUGAUUUGUUUCAAUUUGAUUUUUUUACUUCUCUUUUUGCAUGUAUAAUUUAGGGUUUGUGGGUAGUAUAGACGCAAUUGGUAACUAUAUCGACGGAAUCUUUUCAGAAUAACAAAGUUUUUUUUUUUACUCAAAUAAUAUACAGUAUCAAAUAAUUACUUAAAUAACAUACUCUUCAGAAUUCAGUUUCUGCAGAAUCAAUUUCUCAACAUGAUUGAGUGUAAUUUCUCAAAAAAAUAGUUCAAAAUUAGUUAUUUUUGUUUUAAUUUCUUUAUUUAAAAAAGAAGGAAAGGAAAUUUAUAAUUUUGAGCUUUUAAAAAAUUGAUUUGGAAAAUAAUUUCUUAGAAAAAUAUUAAUGUAAUUUUUUUUUUCAAUUCAGUGUUUUUCUAAAUUAUUUUGAUGUAUUAUGUAUUAAAAAAAAUUAUAUUUUUUAAUUCAAUCUUGAUCGUUUAAUUUUUUUUAACUUGAUAACGUGAAUUCUAUCAUCUUAUUUAAUUAUUUUCAUUUAUUAAAAAUUAUGAGGUUAUGUUAAUAAUAUUUUUUUAUCAGUAACAUAUUACUUUAUAUGAAGCAUUAUACGUAACAAAAAUUAUAUAUCCGAGGUAGUUCUACAAAACAUGCACCAAAUGUGGCUAAGAGAACCUGAUAGAAACAUAUUACAAAAAGAGCUAGAAGCUUAUAAGUGUUUCAAUAUAGUGUCACAUCAUUCAGGGAUCGAGACCAAUGACAGUUUAUAUACUUCCUUCACCCUUUGAGGCGUCUUUUAAGGACAAAACUGUGACUGAGCACCAACCUUCAAAACGGACAAUACUUCGGAUGCAGUGAUUGACCCUAACGAUGCUGUAUAACGAUUUGAGGUCGGGUCGGAACAAUAGGUAUCUCAUAUUCCCAGAUUUUACGUUAUAUCAAAUUGCAAACCAAAUUAUAAAGCAGCUAAAUAAUAAUUAUAUUUGAAUUCUGGCAUUGAUCUGAUAUGCUUACAAAAUUCAUCUUCUGCGAACCAGCGUAUGUUUUGUGGUCACCCUAUGAUCCUUAAUAUUCAAACAAUGUGGUCAUAGCAAGAGUGCUCUGCUCCCAAUAGACAAUAGGGCAAAAUUGCAAGGCCUGCUUCUGCAUUUGAGCCGUUGUUGCCCAUGUUACAACACCCACAAAUAAACUUAUGUGAAUAAUAUAAAAUAAUGCUGCAGUUAGUGUAAAUUAACAUGAGUCUUUUAUUGUUUUUGUUGAAAUUUUUUUGAACAACAAGGGAUUGUCUCCCUCACCUAAAUCAAUAUAUAAUGGUGAUAAUGAUAUUUCCUUGGUUGUUAAUAGAUAACAAAAUGAAAGUCAUCGAAUAACAUGACAAAUUUGUUAUCUAUAGACCAACAAAAUGGUAUAAUCUGUGCAAAGAAGAAAAACAUUUCUUUUAAAAUAAAAUAAAAAAUGUCAAAAAUAAUAAUUUAAUAGAAAAACAAAAGGUUAAAAUUAGUACCUUCAACUCUUUGUAUUAUUAUGAGGAUUCUUCUUCAUUUUCUGAUUCAUCAAUGUAAACUCGUUUGAUGUGUGAUAUCUUGUGCCAAUCCUGUCCAACUUCUGGCUUCAAUCUUUUGCGUAAUUCAGGACAACCAAUGAUUUCUAAAUCUUUAAGAUUUGUGAGGUGAUGCAUGUUAUCAGGGAGUGACAACAUAUUUGGACAAUUGCAAAUGCUAAGUAUUUUGAGACAAAUUGUAGAUGGUAGCCAGUUGGGAAGCUCCUCAAGAUUGAUGCAAUUGCCAACUAUUAGGGAUUCUAAAGAGUUCGCAGAUCCUUGUAACCAUUGAGGAAAAGUGACCAGUUGUGGCAAUUGAUUAAGACCAAGACACUUUAACCUUAAAUUGGGGAUUUGACUUUCAAUAUCCAUUGACAAUUCCAACUUGUCACAACAGUAGAUAAAUAAAACCUCUAAAUUUCUUAUGGCAUCGAAGGACACCGAUUUUAGACUUCCACAUUCGUUCAAAUACAAAUUUUUAAGUGUGGAAAGUUGUAUUCCUUCAAACAGUGACACAAAAUUAUGGCAAUCACUGAAAAACAAAUGUUCUUAGAGAAGUCAAAUUUGCAAUCACUUCUUUAGGAAAAUAAGGUAGUGUGGUGGUUAUAGCCAAGUGACGAAGGCUAACUAGAAUUUUUAUUCCUUUGGGUAAUGUUUGUAGCUUUAUGCAUCCUAUAAGGAUCAAAGUUUGCAAAUUUUGAAGUUUGCAUUUGCAUAUUGAAUCAGGGAGUUCCUUAAGUUUUUUAUUUUGUGCAAGACUGAGGUAUCUUAAAUGUUUCAACUUUCCGAUGCAACGAGGCAGACUCUCGUAUUCGGAAUAUUGCAAGUUUAAAAUCCUCAAGUAUUUGCACCUUGACACCAAUGUAUUCAAAAAAUCUUUAUUGUUCCCUGCUUUACGAAAUAUCAUAGUUCUGAGACCUGUGGGAAGAAGAGAUUCACCAUAAAAAUUAUUUUCCCCAAAUGUCAAAUGUUGGGUACCCUCAGAUAUUUUUGGAUUGUGGAAAUCUAUUGUUUCAAACUCACCUUUUGCGAUAUAAGUUGCAAGAUCAUGCACCAAAUCAUGUAACUUAAAAGAGUACUCACUCCCUAAGUCUUCAUAAUCUGAAAGAAACGAUCUUGUCCAUAGUUCAUGCAAAAAUUGUCUCGCAGCAUCAAUCGUUGAUUCACCUUCCUUUGGUGGGGGAAGAAAACCAAGUGCUUCCCACAACACAGAAACUUCAGAACUAAAGAUAUCAGUAUCCUCUUUGUAAAGGGAAAAAGAAGCAAAACAUGGUUUUAAAUACGAAGGAAGUUGAUCGUAACUCAGUUUCAGAGCAGGUAAAAUGCCUUUUUCAUUUUGUUUUAAAUUCCAAAUCUUAUUAUCUCUUAUGGACUCCCACUCUUUUUUAUCAACCCUCGAGAAUAGUGAACUCCCCACUGUUUUCAGUGCUAAUGGUAAGCCUCCACAUUUUUUUACAAUUUCUUCCCCAAUCUCCAAUAGUUUUGGAUGUUAUUUUUCAUCUCCAUCUUCAAAAGCAGACUUCACAAAUAGAGAACGAGAAUCCUCUUUAGAGAGGCAUUGUAGAAGGUACGAAUUUGAGGAUUUAGUGUGCAUCAUGGUAGCUAUUUCAUGGCUACGUGUAGACAGUAGGAUUUUACUCCCUUCAACACCUACAUCUAUUAUUUCCUUCAACUCACCCCAUCUUGCACGAUCCUCGUUCCACACGUCAUCCAACACAAGCAAGAACUUCUCACCUUGAAGUGUAUUUCUCAAACGAUUUUGAAGUUGCUCAGUCUCAGAGUUAUUGAAGUUUUCCCUCGUUGGGUUUGGAGCAGAAUUGAGAAUUUUAAUGAGGACAUUCCUAAGUUCAAAAUCAUUAGAGACGCACACCCACAUCUUCAACGAAAAACAUGCAUCAAUGUUGGUGUUAUUGAAGACCAACUUAGCAAGUGUGGUUUUUCCCAAGCCCCCAUUCCCACAAUGGGAAUAACAGAAAGAGUUUGGUGAUGAACAUCUUGCACCAAAAGUUUGACUAUUUCAUUUUGAUCAUGUUCCCUUCCUGUAACAUUGGAAGGGUUUACAUGAGAAUGAGUCAUUUCCCUCACGUGCACCACACGUGUAUCUUGGUCAAUGAUUUGAAGACCAAACAUGCUUCUUUGGGCUGCAAGUUUGGCCAACCUGGUGUUGAUAUGUUGAAUGCGAUGCGCCAUUCUAAAACGAUAAACAAGAGGAUUACUUGUUGAGAAGAAAUUGCGUACCUUCCUUGAGCAAUCACCAUAGGUUUUGACAAUGUGCUUGGCUUCACACUCAAAAUCAUCAACUAUGUCUUCAGCAUCAAAAAAGACGCGCUUGACCUGUCUUAGCCAUUCGCUCAGUGCACUGCUCAGCGGAUUCUUUUGCUGAGCAUCUAAGAGAACACCUCUGAUGAGUGCCAUAGUUGCUUUCAUCUCUUGUAGCUCGCUAUGCACACCAAAAGCCAAAGAAGCUUCUUCAACGGCAUGAGAAAGAAGCUUUCCAAUGAGCGAAUCUGCGAAACUGAAAAGAAGUGAUUCGGCCAUGAUGUGGUUUCGGGAAAGAAAAAUGCAAGGCUACAAUAGUUGUUUGGUGAAUGAUUUGACAUGAUUAUGCUAUUUAUAAAACAAUGCUUAGUUUGGUAUAUGAUAUUCCCACACACUCAAAAUUCGUAUGGCCAGCCUAAUACAACUAAUGUGACAUAAAAGAAAUUGUAUUAGCUGGAGUUGGAUUAGUGUGUGAAUCUAUGCUUUUUAUAAUAAGUUCAUUUCAGUGUAAGCAUGUUGCUGUCUAUAUUCAUUCUCACUAAUUCAAAUGUAUUAAACAACACCCAUUACACUACCACUUUCUUCAUUUCUUUAACUUAUUUGACUUCAGGAAAAUAUUAGUUGUUUAUAAGUUUUAUGCUACGUCCAUCCUAUGAACUUGUGAUAAAAAAAAUCAGUAAAUGAAAUAAAAAAUGAUAAAAUAAAUUGAAGUGUUUUGAUUACAUAUUAUUUUAUGGUAAGUGGAUCCUAUUUCUCCUAUAUUUUAGGAAAUCAUAUCCUGGGAAAACAACUACCUUAUAUUUGGUUGCUUCUAUUUAACAUUCUACUCAACCCUUGCCAGCUACCACAAAACGACUACAUUAAUUUUUUUUUUCCUUUGUGGUGGGAAUUCAAGUGGAGAAUCGAGUAUUAAAAAAAUUAAUUUAACAAAUUUGAAGUUUCAUGGUCAAUCCUUUAAAAUGAAUUAACAAUUUUGUAUUAUUUCUAUUUUUAAACUAAUUAUUUUUUGGUAAUAAAUUUCGGAAGUUGUUUUUAAUAUUUUUUAAAAGGUGAACGCAUAAUUAUUUUAAAAGCGAUUUGGAUUUUUAAAUUUUAAAUAUUAAUUUAAAAAUUUCCUAUAUGGCAGAUAAUAAGUGUCUUAUAAAUUUGAGUAUUUUUUUUAAAACAUAUGGUGAUUUCUCGAGUCAAUAUGUUAAUAAUUCUAAGAGUAGUUUUUUCACCAUGAAUGAUUCUACCAGAUUUGUCACCAAAAUUCAGGGUAUUUUUUCUUGUAGUCAUGGUUGUUUGCCUUUCACUUAUUUAGGAGUGUCUAUCUUUGUUGGUGUCGUUUUUUUCAACCUUUUUGCUGAUAAAGUCAAAUUGAAGAUUGCUUCUUGAAAAGGUAAAUUUCUUACUAUGAUGGAUCAGAUUAAGUUGGUCAAUACAGUGAUUACGAGUCUUUUAGCUUAUAGUUUUAAUUUGUAUAAAUGACAUGUUUCUCUUCUUAAGCAAGUUGAGCAGUGGUGUCGAAAAUUUAUGUGGACUGACGAUAUUCUAAAAAAAGGUAUAACUACUGUUAAUUGAGCUACGAUUUGUUCUCCCCCUUGAGAAUGAAGGUUUGAAGAUUAUUAACCUUCACCAUGAAAAUAAUGUAUAUCUUCUUAAGGUUGUUUGGAUCUUUACUUAUAAAGACAUACCUUGGUCUUUGUUUUUGAAAGCCAGUUUAGAAUGAUUUUUGUUGUGGUGGAAGAAGACCAAGUCCUCGCCCACAAUAUAGAAAUUUGAGAAAUUAGAAUAUUAGCAUGCUCUUCGCAAAGGGAGAAAGAAGCAAAACGUGGUUUUAAAUAUGAAAGCAGCUGAUCGUAACUUAGUUUGAGGGCAGGCAAAAUGUCUUUUUCAUUUUGUUUCAUAUUCCAAAUCUCAUUAUCUCUCACAGACUCCCACUCAUUCUUAUCAACCCUCAAGAAAAGAGAACUGCCCACCGUUUUCAGUGCCAAUGGUAAGCCUCCACAUUUUUUUACAAUUUCUUUCCCAAUCUCCAAUAGUUCUGGAUGUUUUUUCUCAUUUCCAUCUUCAGAAGCAUAUUUCACGAAUAGAGAAAGAGAAUCCUCUUCAGAGAGACAUUGUAGAAGAUACGAAUUUGAGGAUUUAGUGUGCAUCAGGGUAGCUACUGCAUGGCUACGGGUAGUCACUAGGAUUUCACUCCCUUCAACACCUACAUCUAUUAUUUCCUUGAACUCAUGCCACCUUUCAGGAACCUCAUUCCACACAUCAUCCAACACGAGCAAGAACUUCUGAACUUGAAGUGUAUUACUCAAACGAUUUUGAAGUUGCUCCGUCUCGAAGUUAUUAAAGUUUUCCCUAUUAGAGUUUGGAGUAGAAUUGAGGAUUUUAAUGAGCAAAUUUCUAAGCUCAAAAUCAUUAGAGACACACACCCACAUCUUCAACGGAAAACAUGCAUCAGUGUUGGUGUCUUUGAAGAUCAACUUAGCAAGUGUGGUUUUUCCCAAACCUCCCACUUUUAUUUUUCAUUUUCAUUUUAAAAUUAAUAUCUUGAAGUUGGGCAUGUUUAUUAAUUAAUUGGACAUCUUUUAAAUUUAUAUUUAUAAAUUUUAUUCAAUUUAUAAGUAAAUAAAAUGUAAAAAAAUGCAUAAAAAUUGAAUUAUACAAAUUUUGGAAAUAUGAAAAAAAUAAUAAAAGAUCUUUAAAAGUAAAUUCUUAGACUAAAUUGGUUGUUCUGAAAUAAUUUAAAAUCUAAUUUUUCUAACCAGCUCGUUCAAAGAUAAUGGUAUAGAAAACAUCUAAAAAAGGACAUACAUUCUCUUUUUUAAUUGAUCUACUUGAAGUUGACACUACUAUUACAAAACAUUGACUUUACCGAUACUUUGUUUUGUAUUAAAAAAACCAUUGUUUUGAAAGUACAAAAGUGAAAAAAUUGUACAAAAUUAUUAGUACAUAUUUUGUAGGCAAUAAGAUAUUCCAUAGUUUCCUGCUAUAUUAUUCCCUUGUGAGGUGGAGAGAACGACGAAAAGGUAUAUAACCUGUGUAAAGAAGAAAACUCUUUCUUUUAAAAUUAAAAAAAAAAACUUGACAAAAACAAUAAUGCAAUAGAAAAGCCAAAAGGUUAAACUUAGUACCUUCAACAUGUUAUUGAGAGAAUUAUCCUUCAUCUAUAUCAACUUUUUUUAUGUGUGAUAUCUUGUGCCAAUCCUGUCCAACUUCUGGCUUUAAUCUUUUGCAUAAUUCAGGACAGUCACAGAUUCGUAAGUCUUCAAGAUUUGUGAGGUGAUGCAUGCUAUCAGGGAGUGACAAGAGAUUUGGACAAUUGACAAUUUCAAGUAUUUUGAGACAAAUUAGAGAUGGUAGCCACUCAGGAAGCUCCUCAAGAUUGAUGCAACCUUCAAUUAUCAAGGACUGUAAAGAAUCCACAGACCCUUGUAACCACUGAGGUAAAGUGACCAGUUGUGGCAAGACAUUCAAAAAAAAGAAUCUUUAACCUUGAAUUGGGGAUUUGGCUUCCACCACCCAUUGACAAUUCCAACUUGUCGCAAUUAGAGAUCAUUAAAACCUCUAAAUUGUUUAUGGCAUGGAAGGACACCAACUUUAGACUUGCACAUUCGUCCAAACACAAAGUUUUAAGUGUAGAAAGUUGUAUUCCUUCAAACAAUGACUCCAAAUUAUCACAAUUACUAAAAUAUAAAUGUUCUAAAGAAGUAAAAGUUGCAAUCACUUCUUUAGGAAAAUCAGGUAGUGUGGUGGUUAUAGCUAAGUGACGAAGGCUAAUUAGAUUUUUUAUUCCUUUGGGUAACGAUUGUAGCUUUAUGCAUCCACGGAGGAUCAAAGUUUGCAAAUUUUGAAGUUUGCAGACUGAAUCAGGGAGUUCCUUAAGUUUUUCAUUUUGUGCAAGAUUGAGGAAUCUUAGAUGUUUCAACUUUCCGAUGCAGCGAGGCAGACUCUCGUAUUCAGAAUAUUGUAAGUCUAAAAUCCUCAAAUAUUUGCACCUUGACACCAAUGUAUUCAAGAAAUCUUUAUUGUUCCCUCCGGUAUGAAAGAUCAUAGUUCUGAGACAUGUGGGAAGAUGAGCUUCACUAUAAAACUUCUCUUCCUCAAAAGCCAAAUGUUGGGUACUAUCAGAUAUUUUUGAAUUGCGGAGAUGUAUUCUUUCAAACUCGCCUUUCCCAAUAGACACUGAAAGAUCACUCACCAAAUCAUGCAAUCUAAAGCGACAUGCACCCCCGAAGUCAAUAUAAUCUGAAAGAAACGAUCUUGUCCACAGUUCAUGCAAAAAUUGACUCCCAACAUCAAUCGUUGAUUCACCUUCCUUUGGUGGGGGAAGAAAACCAAGUGCUCCCCAAAACAUAGAAACUUCAGAACUUAAGAUAUCAGCAUCCUGUUGGUAAAGGGAAAAAAAGCAAAACAUGGUUUUAAAUAUGAAGGAAGUUGAUCGUAACUUAGUUUGAGAGCAGGCAAAAUGCCAUUUUCAUUUUGUUUUAAAUUCCAAAUCUCAUUGUCUCUUAUGGACUCCCACUCUUUCUUAUCAACCCUCGAGAACAGUGAACUUCCCACCGUUUUCACUGCCAAUGGUAACCCUCCACAUUUUUUUACAAUUUCUUCUCCAAUCUCCAAUAGUUGUGGGUUUUUUUUCUCAUCUCCAUCUUCAAAAGCAGACUUCACAAAUAAAGAACGAGAAUCCUCUUCAGAUAGACAUUGUAGAAGGUACGAAUUUGAGGAUUUAGUGCGCAUCAUGGUAGCUAUUUCAUGACUCCGAGUAGUCACUAGGAUUUUACUCCCUUUAACUCAUCCCAUCUUACAUGAUCCUCAUUCCACACGUCAUCCAACACAAGCAAGAACUUCUGACCUUGAAGUGUAUUUCUCAAAUGAUUUUGAAGUUGCUCCGUCUCAAAGUUAUUGAAGCUUUCCCUAGUUGGAUUUGGAACAGAAUUGAUGAUUUUAAUGAGUACAUUCUUAAGUUCAAAACCAUUAGAGACACACACCCACAUCUUCAAGGGAAAACAUGCAUCAAUGUUAGUGUCAUUGAAGACCAACUUUGCAAGUGUGGUUUUUCCUAGGCCUCCCAUUCCCACAAUGGGAAUGACAGAAAGAGUUUGGUGAUGAACAUCUUGCACCAAAAGUUUGACUAUUUGAUUUUUGUCAUGUUCCCUUCCUGUAACAUUGGAAGGGUUUACAUGAGAAUGAGUCAUUUCCCUCACAUGCACCACACGUGUAUCUUGGUCAAUGAUUUGGAGGCCAAACAUGCUUCGUUGGGCUGCAAGUUUGGCCAACCUGGUGUUGAUAUCUUGAAUGCGAUGCGCCAUUCUAAGACGAUAAACAAGAGGAUUACUUGUUGAGAAGAAAUGGCGUACCUUCCUUGAGCAGUCGCCAUAGGUUUUGACAACGUGCUUUCGCAAGGCUUCGCACUCAAAGUCAUCAACUAUGUCUUCAGCAUCAGAAAAGACGCGCUUGACUUGUCUCAGCCAUUCGCUCAGUGCACUGCUCAGCGGAUUCUUUUGCUGAGCAUCUAAGAGCACACCUCUGAUGAGUGUCAUAGUUGUUUUCAUCUGUUGUAGCUCACUAUGCACACCAAGCGCCAAAGAAGCUUCUUUGACGGCACGAGAAGUGACCUUCCCUAUGAGUGAUUCUGCAAAGCUGAAAAGAAGUGAUUCCGCCAUGCUGUUGUUUUGGGAGAGAAGAAUGCAAAGGUAGAAAAGUUGUGUGGUGAAUGAUUUGACAUGAUUAGAUUAUGGUAUUUAUAAAACAAUGGUUAGUUUGGUAAAUUUUCCAUACAGACAAAACUCGUAUGCCGGCCUAGUACUCGAAUUUAUCAUAAAAUAAAUUGUAUUAGCUGGAGUUGGAUUAGUGUGUGAAUCUAUGCUUUUUUAUAAUAAGUUGAUUUUAGUGUAAUCAUGUUGCUGUCUAUAUUCUGACUAAUUCAAAUGUAUUAAACAACAACCACUACCACAAUCAUGUUGCUGUGUAUAUUAGUUGUUUAUAAGUUUUAUAUGCCAAGUUGUGAUAAAAAAAAUCUGUAAAUGAAAUAAAAAAAUGAAAAAUUUAGAUUGAAGUGUUUUGGUUACAUAUUAUUUUAUGGUAAGUGGAUCCUAUUUCUUCUAUUAGGUUACUUCUAUUUAACACCUUCUACUCAAUCCUUGCCGGCUACCAGAAAACGACUACAUUAGUUUUUUUUUCCCUUUGAGGUGGGAAUAAGUGGAGGAUAAAAAAAUUAAUUUAACAAAUUUGAAGUUUUAUGGUCAAUCCUUUAAAAUGUAUUAACAAAUUUGUAUUAUUACUAUUUUUAAACUAAUUAUUUUUAAGUAAUAAAUUUUGGAAGUUCUUUUUAAUAUAUUUUUUUAUUUAAAAAACGAAUAAAUAAUAGAGAUAUUUUAAGAAUAUUUCAACUCUUAUACAAGCAAGUCAUCCUAUGGUUCCAUGAAGCCUAUCAAAGACAAAAUUCUAAAUCAGAUAAAAGUAGUAGAAUAAUGGCAACCUAAGACUCCUUAUAUUCAAAAAUAAAAUCAACAGAAAAACUAUUCUAAACUAACUACAUAUAUCUAUCAACAUACCUUGCAAAUCAUAUAAAACCACCUUCUAAAGUUGUUUUUAUAGAUUUAAUGCAUAUCAGCUGCUUAAGGCACCGAUCAUUGUAUAAAAGGUGAACGCAUAAUUAUUUUAAAAGUGAUUUGGAUUUUUAAAAUUUAAAUAUUAAUUUAAAACUAAAAUUAAUAAGUUACUAAAUUAUUGUGAAUUAAAAAUUAAAUCAUGUUAAGAAUACUAAAAGACAUGCGUAUUUAUUAGAAAAUAUUAAAUUUAAAUUAAUUAAACAAAUAAUUAAAAUAAAUAGUAAAAAAUAUAAAUAACAUUAAACACAAAUAUUGUUGACUGUGGCUAUACUAAUAACUAAAAAUGACAUAAUCAUCACAAUUUUUUAUUUAAACAUUAUAUAUUACCAACUUGUAAGUCAUUGAUGCUUUAAGCUGCAAUUUUCAAAUUGAAAAAAGAUGUUGACUAAAUUUAAAACUUAUUCAAAUCCAAUAAAACUUAAUCACCUUCCACACUUUGCCCAAAAAAAAAGCUUAAAAUUGCCUUGUACUACACAAAUGCCUUGUAAAAGAGUUAUAAAUAACCUAAGUAGAAGGAGAGCAAAGUGAAUAAGGGAUAAAGUGAGAUGUGAUUUGUUGUAUUCAUUGAAAGUAUUUACUGUAUUCGUAAAGCAACACAACCAAUUUCAGAAAAUAUUUUAUCUAUAUUCGAUAGUAACACUUAAAUUUUUCUUUCUUUAUUGAAUCAUGUAUAUCAAAAAAGAUUUUAAUUAAAUGUGAUAGAAACACUUAGAAUUUUGUGUUGAUAUAUCAGUUUAAAAUAUGUAUAUUUUUUGGUAAAAGAGAUACUCGUAUUGAUUUAGUUUGGAUGAGAUGAAAGAACACGAACUAAAUGGGUCUGAGGUGAAAUCAAGCAAGAGUGGUGAAGAUCCU
rnacentral:lncRNA from 1 species